GACGAACGCUGGCGGCGUGCCUAAUACAUGCAAGUAGAACGCUGAAGGAGGAGCUUACUUCUCUGGAUGAGUUGCGAACGGGUGAGUAACGCGUAGGUAACCUGCCUGGUAGCGGGGGAUAACUAUUGGAAACGAUAGCUAAUACCGCAUAAGAGUAGAUGUUGCAUGACAUUUACUUAAAAGGUGCAAUUGCACCACUACCAGAUGGACCUGCGUUGUAUUAGCUAGUUGGUGGGGUAACGGCUUACCAAGGCGACGAUACAUAGCCGACCCGAGGGGGUGAUCGGCCACACUGGGACUGAGACACGGCCCAGACUCCUACGGGAGGCAGCAGUAGGGAAUCUUCGGCAAUGGACGGAAGUCUGACCGAGCAACGCCACGUGAGUGAAGAAGGUUUUCGGAUCGUAAAGCUCUGUUGUAAGAGAAGAACGAGUGUGAGAGUGGAAAGUUCACACUGUGACGGUAUCUUACCAGAAAGGGACGGCUAACUACGUGCCAGCCGCCGCAGUAA
rnacentral:rRNA from 1 species